GCCGGAGGAUGCAAGCGUUAUCCGGAAUUAUUGGGCGUAAAGGGUGCGUAGGUGGUCAGACAAGUCCCAUGUCAAAGCAUGGUGCUUAACGCCAUAAGGCGUGGGAAACUGUCAGACUAGAGUACAGCAGGGGCAGGAGGAAUUCCCGGUGUAGCGGUGAAAUGCGUAGAUAUCGGGAAGAACACCAGUGGCGCAAGCGUUCUGCUGGGCUGUAACUGACACUGAGGCACGAAAGCUAGGGGAGCGAAAGGG
rnacentral:rRNA from 1 species